CAACCUGCCGUCUACUCUUGGACAGCCUUCUGAAAGGAAGAUUAAUACAAGAUGGCAUCAUGAGUCUGCAUGUUCACAUGAUUAAAGGUAUUCCGGUAGACGAUGGGGAUGCGUUCCAUUAGAUAGUAGGCGGGGUAACGGCCCACCUAGUCUUCGAUGGAUAGGGGUUCUGAGAGGAAGGUCCCCCACAUUGGAACUGAGACACGGUCCAAACUCCUACCGGAGGCAGCAGUGAGGAAUAUUGGUCAAUGGGCGAGAGCCUGAACCAGCCAAGUAGCGUGAAGGAUGACUGCCCUAUGAGUUGUAAACUUCUUUUAUAAAGGAAUAAAGUCGGGUAUGUAUACCCGUUUGCAUGUACUUUAUGAAUAAGGAUCGGCUAACUCCGUGCCAGCAGCCGCGGUAAUACGGAGGAUCCGAGCGUUAUCCGGAUUUAUUGGGUUUAAAGGGAGCGUAGAUGGAUGUUUAAGUCAGUUGUGAAGGUUUGCGGCUCAACCGUAAAAUUGCAGUUGAUACUGGAUAUCUUGAGUGCAGUUGAGGCAGGCGGAAUUCGUGGUGUAGCGGUGAAAUGCUUAGAUAUCACGAAGAACUCCGAUUG
rnacentral:rRNA from 1 species